AGUGAACGCUGGCGGUAGGCCUAACACAUGCAAGUCGAACGGCAGCACAGUAAGAGCUUGCUCUUACGGGUGGCGAGUGGCGGACGGGUGAGGAAUACAUCGGAAUCUACUUUUUCGUGGGGGAUAACGUAGGGAAACUUACGCUAAUACCGCAUACGACCUACGGGUGAAAGCAGGGGAUCUUCGGACCUUGCGCGAUUGAAUGAGCCGAUGUCGGAUUAGCUAGUUGGCGGGGUAAAGGCCCACCAAGGCGACGAUCCGUAGCUGGUCUGAGAGGAUGAUCAGCCACACGGGAACUGAGACACGGACCAGACUCCUACGGGAGGCAGCAGUGGGGAAUAUUGGACAAUGGGCGCAAGCCUGAUCCAGCCAUACCGCGUGGGUGAAGAAGGCCUUCGGGUUGUAAAGCCCUUUUGUUGGGAAAGAAAAGCAGCAGGUUAAUACCCCGCUGUUCUGACGGUACCCAAAGAAUAAGCACCGGCUAACUUCGUG
rnacentral:rRNA from 1 species